UAAAACAACUAUCAGGUAGUACAUGACA
rnacentral:piRNA from 1 species